rnacentral:lncRNA from 1 species
CGUUUACCUUAAAUGUAUUGCCAUUCUGGGGGUCAUGAAUUUCAAUUGCUCCAUGUGGGAAUAUUUGUGUGACAAUGAAAGGUCCAUCCCAUCGGGAUCGAAGUUUACCAGGAAAAAGGCGUAACCUGGAAUUGAAAAGCCAUACCUUUUGAUUUAGCUCAAAUGAUUUUCUAGAGAUAUAUUUGUCAUGAAAUACUUUGGUU